UACAGAGGGGCAAGCGUUGUUCGGAAUUACUGGGCGUAAAGGGCGCGUAGGCGGCCUUCUAAGUCGAACGUGAAAUCCCCGGGCUCAACCCGGGAACUGCGUCCGAUACUGGAAGGCUUGAAUCCGGGAGAGGGAUGCGGAAUUCCAGGUGUAGCGGUGAAAUGCGUAGAUAUCUGGAAGGAACGACCGGUGGCGAAGGCGGUUCUCUGG
rnacentral:rRNA from 1 species